rnacentral:lncRNA from 1 species
ACAUGACUGAACAACAACAAAAGUACCUUAAUUCUUCACAGGAAGUGUCAUUUGGAGUACAUGGGUUGAACCUAUCAUCUUUCCAGGACCUUAGGUCAGGCCCAGAUGGUUCUGUUCAUUCCAUGGAUUUCAGAAAAUUGCUUGCUGCUGCUCAGACAUCCAAGGAGUAUGGUACUGGAUGAGCCAUGUGAGCAUCUGAUCCAUGAUGGAGGAGUUCUGAAAGUCACCCCCCCAGAGGAGUUUUAAAACAAGUUCCUCAGUGUCCCUUGGGGGAGGGAGGAGAUGAAAACAUCACAAUUCAGAGAGCUUGAUGGCAUUAGAACUGGUCCACACAAGAUCAUCCUUCCAAGUGAGAAGGUAAAAAGAAUACUCACGAUCAUUUGUCCAGGUCUUGGGACUGGGUGAAAGGUUCGGCCAGACAGCACUGGGAAAGACCAGGAGGUUUGAAAUGAAGGCAGAGGGAGUUAUGGGACCCUCCUCAACACUAGGGAUUCCUAAACUCCAAACUUGGGCUUCUACCAGUUGUCAUUUCAUAUGCAAUAGAACCUCAUUAUGCAAUAACUAGUUAUUACAUGAAUUUGAUCAAAAUAGAUCUCCCCAAACUUAAUAACUAAAUCCUAUAUAAUUCUACAAGGUAAAUCUUAGUGUGGGACUUGCUUUCUGAACACACUCACUGACCUCAUAGGGAUAUACUUUUUACUGCCAAAAGAGGGUGUCCUCAGGGGCUAAUUUUGUACAAAAAAGCAGCUGAGCCAAAGGAUACACAUGGAGAUGGUGGGGGGGAAAGGGAAGAGAAAAGGAAUUAUAGGACUACAGGGGAUGACAGAAGGGCAUCAGGUCCAUCUUUCUGCCAGAUUGACACAAUCCCAUAGUUCCCAUAUGAGGAGCUGGUCUAAUUUCUACCAACCCCCAGAGACAGUUACCUCAGCCUGCUAAGUCAUACCAAUGUUCAGUUACUCCCACUGCCAGGAAGUCCUUUUCUAUGUUGAAUCCAAAUGACUCAUACUGUAGAUGAAACCUAUUUCUUCAAGAGGAAGGAAGCAUCAAGGGAAUGAGAGGAUGAAAAAUUUGGAGAAAACCUGAGCACCUACACAACCCCCACCACUGACAACUGGCAAGGAAUGUGAAAGAAACGUUUCUUCAAGCAGGAAAAAUUAAAAUGGAAAAAAAGAAAUCAAUUAUCUCCUAAUCUUCCUUGCCAUUAUUUUCUAGGGCCAUUUUCCUUUCUAGGAAUCAUUAAAGGUAACUUUCAAAAACUAAUUUUGCCAGUAAGAAUUCUAUUGAUUUGCUAAAUUUGCAUUAGCCUCAUUCUUUCAGAUAUUAUUCCUAACUCUCUUUAUUCUACCAGUUAUCAUUUCAUAUUCAGUAGAAUCUCAUUAUGUAAUGACUAGCUAUUACAUGAAUUUGUAUAUGUUUGACCAGAAUAGAUCUCCUCAAAUUUAAUAACUAAAUCCUAUAUAAUUCUACAAGGUAAGUCUUAGUCCUGAUCUCAGUUUCAGAGUCAAUCAACAAACAUUUAAUAAGCCUCUACUAUGUCCAAGGUAUUGAGGAUAAAAGUACAAAAAAGGGUCAGCCCCUGCCCUCAAGAAAUCAACAUUUAACUGAAUUACUCAUCACUUCAUUCUUUGCCUUUCUACUAAAUGUUACAAAGGGGGUUAGUUACUACUCUUCAGAUUGCAAGAUGGAAUGUACUAACUAGACUGUUAUGUAUAUAACUGUUAUAUGUGCAUAUAAUUAACUGUAAUGAACUAACUAUGGAGUGGAAGGUAGAAGGGGAUGGAGGGAAGAAAAGUCCAUGCUGGAACAACAGUCCUUGUGCAUGUAUACAUGUGAAUGGUACAGACACAUCCACAUGGACUGUGAGACUCCAGUCACCACUUACUGAACCUGUCAGUGUUUAUGAUUCUGUAUUUUAGCUUCACCUUGCUACCUUUUUUUCACUCCAGUUUCUGUAUUUUGGCUUUAUUGUAGUUCAUUGUCAUUUUCCAUUGGAAGGUAGGAGUUUCUACCUUAAUGUCAGUUAAUAUAAACAUUGAAAGUUCAGAUUUCUCCACUGAGAACUCAAAGGUGUACACUAAGUGAAACAAGU